UACGGGGGGGCAAGCGUUGUUCGGAAUUACUGGGCGUAAAGGGCGUGUAGGUGGCCAACUAAGUCCGACGUGAAAUCCCCAGGCUUAACCUGGGAACUGCAUUGGUGACUGGCAGGCUUUGAGUGUGGCAGAGGGAGGUAGAAUUCCACGUGUAGCAGUGAAAUGCGUAGAGAUGUGGAGGAAUACCGAUGGCGAAGGCAGCCUCCUGGGCCAACACUGACGCUCAUGCACGAAAGCGUGGGAGCAAACAGG
rnacentral:rRNA from 1 species